GCAGAGCAGAGGCACAGAUGCACCAGGCUGCAACUAUUCCAUUAUAUUAACAGCUGGAUCAAGCCAUACAGUCUAUCUACAAGUGGGAAUAAGCUGCAAGGCCAAGAGGAGACAGUUUCCUUGUCAGUACCAGAAAUGGUACAAAUGAUUGUACAAAGCUGCAGGAGGUCCCUGCAAGAGUUUUCGGAAAGUCCGGUUAUGUCAGGAAGCAAGUGUCUCAGCUCUUCCCACUCACUCACUGGUGCACCCCAGAGCAUCACUGAAUGGCUGAUGCUCUGGGAAAAGGAUCCGGUGGAGAUUCUGCUUGAUUUGGGGUUUGGUACAGAAGAACCUGAUGUUUGCACUAAAAUCCCUCCUCGGUUCCUCAGUGGUGCUUCUGUAGCAAAAGGGAUCAACAUCCAAGUCUUUUUGGAAGCUCAGAAGCAGCGGAUGGACAUUGAGAGGCCAAACCUAUAUGAACGUUUUCAACAGCUGGAAGUACUUGACCACGUAACUAGCGCCCUCUCGUCUUUGCUGACCGACAUCAACACCCAACAGACCAAAGCACAGGACACCGCCAGGGAUGAGACCAGUCUCCUGGAUGCUGUGAAGAGCCAACCUGCAGCCACACGAGCAAAGCAGAGAAGAAUAGGUCAGCUCCUGAAAAGGGCUUCUCGGCGGACAAUGCUGCUGACCCAGAGCUCACUGGCACCUGGGGAAGCCGACUUGCCCGGCAGGAAAGAGCAACCCUGUACUUGUGCAGAUAUGGACGAGAGGAGAACAGUCCAGGCGGGCUUUUCUUUGCAUGUCACGCUGGGUGGUCUGACACAAGAGCAAACCCCCAGAGACAAAGGUUCCUCCGCAUAUCCCACAUCCCAGUGCCCACCAACUCCAUCGGGGAAAGCCUGGGCUUCACUGCACCUAGUUGCAAAACAGCCCCAUCUUCCUCCUGCAUGUGAGGUGCCUGCCAAAGACAGGCCACGUAAGGAGUCACUUUUCCUGAUGGACCACACAGUCAAAAAUGUGGCUGACCUAAACUGCAGGCUGCCGGACUCAUUUGAACUGGAAGAGAUUCAGAGUUUUGAGGAUGAAACUCUAUGUGGAAAUGCUCCUGACACCACUUCAGAGGUGACUGUGACAAGAACAAACAGCUGCCAGUCAGACAGCAGUGGAUUCAUGGAGGAGCUGUCAGAGACUGUAGCUUUACAAAAUACAUCUUUGUCAGGAAGAAUUAAUUUUAUUUCUGAUAUCCACAAUCAAGAAACAGGUCUGUCACACAGGAACGUUUUUCCUAUGUUAAAUCAAGACUUUCAACAAAAUCCAGAUGAUUGUGUUGCUAAGGUCUUCAUCCCCGCUUGCAAGAGCAUUUUGGCAGUACCUAGAUCAACAAAAGCAUGUAGUGACCAGGGAGAAGAGACUCAUCUGCUGGUGACUGCAGAAAAUGGCAAGUAUCAGGCAUAUAAUGCUGAGCCACAGAGUUUUGUCCAAGAAAUGUUAUGUGACGUGGACAAGAAAGAGAAUAGAACUGAAGGAAAACAACUGGAAAAAGAGAGGUGCAUGAAAGAGUGUAGUCAUCAUUUUCAGGGUGAUACUCAAGAUGAAGGGGAUCCUAGUUCCUUCAAACUUGAUUGUCAUUUAUAUUUUAGUACAGGACACAAAAAGGUGAAUGCAGCCUUCACUGAACUGAGUGAUAUAAGCCCUGCAGUCAUCAGCAAGAGCAAAAUCAGAGGUGAAGAUGAAGGUGAGAGGUGCUGGCUUGAAAAGGACACUGGAGUUGCAUAUUGGGAACAUGUCCAUGGAGGUCAUACAGGACACAUUAAAGGACCAUGGGGUGUGGAAGUGGUCAGUGAAGAUGGUAACCCACUUGCAGUGAAUGAGGUGACAAAAGGGCAUAAGUUCUGUAAGACGGAUGGUGAUUCAAAAAAUACACAGUGGUCCCCCAAAAUGGGGCCCUCAGAAACUCUGCAGUGGGGCUCAGCAGCACAGAGUGGGAGCAGUGCAGCUUCAAGCUGUUCUCUGAAAGUAUCUCAGCAGCAUCCUUCAGGCCUAGUGGAAGGGCCCCGAUUAAGUUCAUCUUCAGAUCAAGAGACUGGUAGCAUAGGGGAGAUGUUAGGUGCUAACAAUUCAGAAGAGGGAGACACUGUCCAAAACGGAGAAACGGCUUUUGGUCCUCUGAAAUCUGUUACUGUUCAGAUGUCUUCAGGGCUGGAGUUCACUCCAAGAACGAAGGGCACAGGCCAAAAUGCUCCUCACGGCGAGAGCCUCGCGAGGGAAGAUCCUGCAGACUUCUCUGACAUGUCAGCGCACUGUCCUGAGGGGGGUCCUCUGGCACGGUCAGACCCAAGGGCUUCGAGGGAUGGAGCGAAGCAGACCGCUGAAGCCUCCAGCCAAACUGACAUCCCCACCAGGAAGCCCAAGCAGCCACUGCUGCUUUCUCCACCCCGCGCCCACCUGACGAAAUCGGCCUCCCUUGACAGCACGCUUUGGGGCAAACGCAGGCUGGGCUGCUGGGGUGAAGCCUCCGGUGCCAGGGGUGCGUGGGGCAGUCACUGCUGCCACUGCUGCUGCUGCCACGGGUGCUGCCCGUGGGCCUUCCCCGGGGCUGUCUCUCCCCAGCGCCCCACGGGCUGUGGCUCAAACCAGUUCUUGAACACCCUGAUGCUCCUACGGGACGCUGCAACGCGUAAUCUUGCUCCGUGCACCCUCCAUGAAGUAGAAGCAAUGAAGAGCUCCUGCCAGCACUUCCAGGAGAAGUUGGAUGAGAUUGAACAACACCUGACCGAACAGCAGGCGCUGUUUUUUGGUGCUGUUCAGGAUGAAGGAAGGGAGGAAGGCAGACACCUGCAACUCUUACGACGAGCCGUUCGUCAAGAAGUUACAGAGCUGGAAUUUCGGUUGAACGAUCAAGCUUGCCAAUUUGGGAAGAGCAUCCUUCUGCAGCUGGACCAAUUACUAGCAGAACAAUCCCAUCUGUCUUCUGAGCUCGGACUCUCUGAUUGGAAGGGAGAAAGAAAAGCCCAGAAUAAACAAGAGUUUCCAGAUGCUGCUGACACUAUGCAUCCUCCAAGUGGGUGCUCAAAAGUGGUGCUCCAAAGAGCUCCUAGCAAAAACAAGACAUUAAGAGGCUUGUGCUCUGCCCCACAGCUGGGGGCACCCCCAACACAGUUUCCUACCAGGACAACACCUGAACCGAGUUCAGCUGAGUCUGCCCCACAGGAGCUCUCUACUAGUAAAAAGGAAAUAAAAGGAUCUCCACAAGCAAAAAUGGACUUUAAGGCAUUUAUACACAAUUUGAAGAAAUCUUUCCAAAAUUCUUUAGGUAAUGAUUCAGCAGAAGGAAAAGACUGACGGAGGAGAUACUUAAGGAUUUUUUUUUUUUAAUGGUUGUGGCCUUUUUUCUGAAUCAGAUGGUGUAUCACAGAAACAAAGGAACAAAACAUUGCAUUAUAGAAAGUUCUGGUCACAACAGUUUCAUUUACAAUGAGAUGGCUGCCUAGAAAAUCAGGCAUUUUUAAAGGAUGUUUUGAAGAGAGGUGUUGUGUAUUUUGCUAUUCUGUGAUUGUGAAACUUGCUACGCUCCUAUUGGCAAUCAUAUGCAAUAGGGAUGUUCUUCGAAAAAUCAUUUAAAAGGAAGAGGAGAGGGCUUAUUUUUGAGAAUAAACUUAAGAACUUGGAGACAGCCCAAGAGAUACCACUAGAUGGUAUUCUUCUUAUAGCCUGUUAUUUUAACACAGUUCUUCAACCAAUAUUAAUCCUCAAGGCCAAGCUGCUUUGUAUAGUCCUAGCCACAUUCUAGCUUAUAACUUACUGCUAACUUGCCUCUGACUAAUUUUGUGAGUCUUGUACCUACUGUCAGGAUGGAAUCAGAAGCUCACUGACAUCACAUAAAAUGUUAAACUCCAUUUCUGUCAAACUUACUGUGGAUAGUCUCCUGGCUGUCCUCUUCCUUUUCAUAUUUGCUUCAUAUAAAUCCAAUUAAAACCAACAUGAGAUGAGAAACACGGGAUUUCUACAUUAUGAGCCUUGAAUCAGAAUUCUGGUUCAGUUUUCCGAGGAGUGUGCAGAGACUGGAUUCAUGCAGAAAAAGCCAUGAGAAAAGACCUCUCAGGUUUGGAUCACAGCAAAGAAAUUCAACUGGUUCAUUUUCAGAGCAGUGCAGUUUUGUACUACUGCUUUCAAUUUAGCACUUCCCAGACUGUGAGAUGUCCUACUGGCUUGUUUGUUUAAUACUCUGGAGGGAUCUUAGAUGUCAUUUAGGCUUUGGUGUUGCAAAUCACAGCUCUGCAAAGGUGCAAAUAGAAGUAGCAUUUGCACAUGUUUAAGGAGAAAAUGGAGUCAAACAUGCUGAGCAGCCUCGAGGCUCCCUGCACCUCCACGUUUUCACAGAUGUUCAGGGUAAUAAAAUGAUUGGGGGAGAGAGGUACAUAACAUAGGAACUGACAAGAUCCUCCACAGCCUGCUGGGCCAUGAAUUUUACUGGUUGAAAUUUGCCCCUUUCUUGAGACCCCGCAUGGGAUUUGUACACCACACUAUCAAGUGUUGAAGAGUUUAUACAUCAAGAUUUGUGAUUGUGGCAGUAUCUUCAGGCAGCAUGCAAACAGGACCAAAAGAUCCUUCACCUAAGUUUUCGUGGAACAAGUGAUAAAUUUUGCUUAGUAUUUUUGCUCUCCACUGGCUUAUGAACUGCACUCGCAGAUGCUGUGCCUCAGUUUGUGGAGGAAGGCAAAUAAAGAUCAUGAUGAAGGACAUAGAAUGAUGCCAGUGCUGAAGGUUUCCUGGAAGAGAGGAUGACUAAGAAGCUUCUUUGCCUCAGCCACACCAGGGCUGUGAUUCGUCCCAAGAAACAAGAGAGUUUUUGCAAGCAUCACGGAAGCACAAUGCAUAAAAGAUCUGUAGCUAUGUGAUGGUGCAACCACUGUCUGCCUGUCUUAUGUCUGUAUGUACAGAAGAUGGCAUUGGCAGGUGGCAGUGGUUCUUGAUUGGAAAGAUCCCGGAGGACUUCUGGAGCCAUUUGAAUUCUACCAUUUGUAUUCUCAACCAGGACCGAAUCUGACUCCUGCUAACAAAACUUUCCUGUUUGAAUGGUCUCUAGAUUGGCAGCUGCCUCCAGGAAUGGCUGCAGUAAGUAUUUAUUAGAGAGACUUCAGGUAAAGCAAGCAUCUGCCAAGGGUCCUGAAAAGGAUCAGGAUGAAGGUCCUGGGUGGUAAAGAAAACUGUGGUACUCACCUCGACAUUCCCAUACUCCAUCCCAUUUCAAGUUAACCGUAUGAAUUUUUGGGAAACUGCUUUAGGUCAGCUCCCAGUCUGUGAAGACACAUCUUUCACAAGCAGAUCUUCCUUUCCAACAGACAACUUAAGUCAAGCUAUUGUAGAACUACUGUGAAACAAGGUGAGUGGGGGAGAAAAAAGUCUGUAGUUAAGUUUUUUUCUUGCUGGUAAAUUAGCUUUUUAAAAGUUGACUGGACUUUCCAGAGGUUCUUCUAAGCUACUGACAGAGAGAGAAGUCGUGGAGAGUAGGAAAUAUGUAUAGUCACUUAGGAAAGAAAAGAGAAACCUAAUUACUUGAAGACUGGAGUCUACUGUAUCAGUGAUACUUCUGUAAUGUCCUGCAUAAGAGCUCCACUGCCCUUAAUUUUUGAUCUACAAGGAAUAGCAAUAAUGAGAAAAUGUUAGUCUUGUUAUAUCAGGAGAGCUGUUCCAGAUCUAGGGUUGCUCUAACCAGAGCAGAGCACACUGGAAUCAGGGUAGCUUGGUCUCCUUGCAUCCUUAUCCCAUUUAACAAAUAGAGAAGUGGAAGCAAGGACACAUGGGUCAUCCCAAACCAGGCCAGGCAAAUGCAAGAGGUGCCUUUCUUGGGCUCAGAUUUCCUACUGAGCUAACCCAUGGAUGGAUGGAUAUAUGUGUGUGUGUGUGGCUGAGGCUGGAGGGGAGCUGGACUGAGGUGUUCAGGUAAAUUUGGAGCAGCUGGUGGCAAAUACAUCUCAUUCUGAGAGCUGAUGGGCAUUGGGAAGCAGUUGCUGCCAAAGCACGUGGCAGCUGGGCUCGCUACCACCCAGGCAGGAGGUGAGCAAAGGGGCCUGGGAGCAGCACUGGGGAAAUGUUGUAGCUGUGGGUGGGACAGGGGAACUUGAAAAUGAGGGGCAGGCAUAGAAAGAAAUGGAGAAAGAACAAUAGUUGAGCUGGUAUAAUGAAAGUGAAAGGAGACCUGAAACUAGACAAAGGAGGGAUGAAGCAGAAGUUCAUCUAUGUGUAGAUUCAUGUGUUUAAAGGUAGCCCUAGUGUAUUUAUUAGCCCAAUACAUGCUGUUCCUUCAAUUAAAUAAGUAAGCUGACUUAGUCCUCACUCAGAAACCCAGGGAAAUAAAUUUACUUCUUGUUCUUCCCAAUGAUGCUUAUGAGCACUUCAGGAUCACAGACUAGUAAAGAGGUUAAGGACCAUGGUCAGAUUAAGAUGAAGCACAUAACAGUCAGUUUAAGACUAUCCAAGUCCUCGAUAUAGUACCCAGUGGCUAAGAACACAAGAAAUGGGCUACAGGGCCAGACCACCUUCAAUAGGACUAUAUCUUUGGCAGAGAAAAUAGGAAAUGUUUUUCAGGGAGAGCCUGAUGACUUUUUUGUGGGCUUCUCUCCUCAUAUGUCCCCAGCAGCCACAAUGGUUCAAUAAGGGACAUUAGAGUCUAUGUUUUUGCCUGUUCACAUUAGCAUCUGUUAACGUUACAGAUUCACAGAAAGAUGGGUUAAGAAGGAUGUCUCGAGAUCAUCUAAUCCAAUGUCCCACUCAAAGAGGGACUAGCCUGCCGACUUCUCCAUUAACAUGUUUAAUCCUUUUUGUACCCUCCUACCAUGAGCUCCCACUAUUUCCUGUGGAAACAAAGUCCAGAAAUUUGCUAAUUUUUGUGAACUCUUCUUGUUUUAUCGGUUUUAAACUGAUCUCCCACUUUUGAUGAAUGGCCUCUAGCUCUAGAACUGUAGGACUUGGUGCAAAUGCAGUCUGCAUUCACCUUCACCACUUAACUGAUUUUAUAACCCUGAGGAAUCUAGCAUGGCCAAAGUGAAGGGUCCCAGCCCUUCUAGUCUUUUCUCUCCAGGCAAUUCCUCCUUCCCCUUAACCUUUUCCACCCAAAUCUAGCUGGAUGACAAAAGUUUUCUGGAUUUUCAACUCUGUACAUUUCUUUCCAAAGCUGUUAUAAAUUCCAGGGAAUUUUUUACUCCAGUCCAAUUUACAAAGCCAGCUUUAUUAUAACUACUCAUUUCUGCUACCAUUCUCCAAUCUCACUAGAAAGAGCUGAGUCUGAAGCUGUUGCCCUCUUCUAUCAGAAAUAUCAUAGAAGAGAGCCAAGAGUCCUUAUGAAUUUUGAGCGGUAGCACCAUAGCCUGCAAACAAAUGUUCUGCCUCGAGCACUUCUCUUUUUUCUGAGUCUUUUCUUAAAGUUCAACUCUUGCCAAAUCCAAAUCUUUACUCAAUUGCAAAUAUUCCUCCAUCAAUCAUCACUGGAAGUGUUAUGGAAAACAUACAGUUUCUUCCCUUUAUCAAAGUCAAAAAAAUAAAUACAUGGAAGAAGGAGGAGAAACAGGGUUGACAAAAGAUGGGACUAGAAUGAAGACAGGAGGAAGAGAGAGAAGCACAGUGAGAAAGAGAAGGAAAGAAGGAAGAGGAACACAAUCAGACGUACAGAUGGCUGCAGACAGGAGAAGCAAUAAGCCUGGGUCCCUGUGCUAGGGGCUGUGUUUAUGUGCCAGAGUGGCUAUUGGGAAAGGAUAUUCUGACUUUCCUGGGAAACCACAAGGAAGGCAGCGAAGGUCACAGAUGCUCCUUUCCCACCUGAUGCAGCUUCUGGACAGUAGGUACCUACCCAUGGUGAAGAAAAGCCAGGGAUGGACAUCAGCAUCCAGACAGAAUUAGUUUGCAGAUCCUGGCUACGACUCGUAGAUGGAUAAAUGAUUCUCCCCAUGUGCUGUAUGACUGUGUAGACACUUCUCUGUUACUGUUUUGCCCUUAGUUUACAGUUUUACUCCUUUACACAGUUUUACAGUUUUACUUCUUUACUUCUGCUAUGGGAGCUUUACUGAUUUUUUUUUUUUUUUUUAAUCAUUUUCUCUCAGAUUCAGUCUUCUUUUGUGCUCUGUGCUGUAGCCAACCUGUCAGGUAAAGCUUUAGAGUCCACAAAGACAACCUCAGAGAGUCUCAGUGGGAAUAUUUAAGCAAAAGGCUGCGUUGGUCUUCUGCUCAGCAGCUAGCACUGUGAGAUUGCAGCAAAUUCAAUACAAGAGGGAUAAUGUUAACACAGUUAAGCAUGAAUUUAGACAUGUCACUGCUAAUCCCUAGAUUAACAAGAGGGAAGGAAAUGUGUCAAAAUAAUAAAGUACCUAUUAAAAAGGCUGUAGAGACAGACACUGAUCCAUAGUUAGCACCGAUAGAUGACAGCACAUCGUCAGUGAAGCGUGAGCCGUCAUCUGGCAAUGCUCUGUUCUGCAGAAACCAGAUGAGUUAGGGACUUAUGUCAGACUCACUGGGGAUUUCCAGACAUUGAAAGAAAUAAAUAAGGAAAGUAAAUUUGGAAGAAAAAUACUUUUUUUUUUUUUUUUUUUUUUUUUUUUUUUUUUUUUUUUUCUUAAUCCUCACCUUAAUUUGGGGUCUUUAGGACUUCAUCCCUUUGUCCUCUGGGUCUGCAGGAGAAGUGACAAUCCAGCACGGUACUCAUACAGACUGUGUGAAGUUGCUGUCACAGUCACCAAAGCCCUUUGGAGGCACAAAUUAAUUACUCUCUUUAGAUCACACAAAGAAUGAGGAUAAAGGUCUCAGAAGAAGAUAGGUAGGAACCCCAAAAGUCUAAGGCAGAUGGAGAGACUGAGAGGCUAUGUGAGACACAGGGCUUCUCAGGCACUAAUCCCAUGCUGCUGAUUUAGUUUAUCAGCUAGCAGCUUGUAUGUGAAACUCUGGCUAAUGUUGCUUCUUAAUGUUUGUUAGUGGCUAUGCUUUCCAGAGGGGAAAGGAGAGUCUCUAAACUGUUUUUGAGAGAUGCUCUGGGAUGAUCCUGCCAUCCCCUCUGGGGGGAUUGUGGAAGAGAAAGGGCUCAGAAAUCAUUAAAUAGGAGGGGAAAAAAAAAAAAAAGAGGGUGGGGUAUGUGGUAUUUUUUUAUUGCCAUUAUGGCUUUGAGCCUCAUUCAAGAUUUUCCCUAUAAGCAGGAGAUCUAGGAAUUUAGCUGGAUAUGUCACUCUGUAUCUGAUUAGGAAAGUAAGCAACAUACAGUAAUAUAUGUGCUUGGGCAUAAAGUCCAUGGUAAAAUCAAAGAGGAACCUAUGCAUCUCUCUGAUCCAGCUUAAAUACCUCCUUGCUGUCCUCUGAAGGUGUCUCUUCCCAGCAUUCAUUAAUAGAGCAUCACCUUUCUGUGAAAGAAAAGGUUUUUUUGCAAUCUCCUGUGAAAUGUUCUAGGAGUAUUCUUCUUUUUGUGAAUCUAUGUUCAAAUCUGCCUGUACUGUUUAAAAGAAGGUUAUAUGUCUACUGGCAUUUUAAGGUAUGAACUUGAUAUCUGAUUAUUUUUAUAGCUUAGGUUCUUCAUUACAUCACUCCAAGAGAAACAUUCAAGGAUAAAGAUUAAUUACUUUUAAUGUUGCUUCAGAUUUGUUAUGCUGCAGAUAAUUCUUGUUUUAAGUAAGUGGAAACAGGUGUGUAACAAUUGAUUAAAUUAAAUUAAACAAGCAAGUAGGGAAUGAAAUGCACAUGGCUAUUUUCAAGGAGAGAUAUUGUAAACAUUAAUUAAGCAGCUGGAAAUCAAUAACUACACAAAACUAUUCCCUCUUCAGAAUUUUAUGAGAUGGAAGAAGCCCUGAUGUUUUCAAUCAUGACAUUGUUAUUUAUACCUUGCUGAAGUAUAAAUAAGAGGUGCCCAUAACCAGGCCAGCUAUGACAUGAUGCAGACAGGUGGAUUUUCUUAUCUGGGCCCUUCUGAAUCCUGUGGAGGCCCAAGAAGGAUGAUGUAGCACCACUUUCACACCACUGAUUCCCAAAAGAGGGAGUGACUUGUCUGAAGUGAAUAAUUUUCAGAAUUAAUUAGCAAAAAUAAUCCUCCAUUCCCCCUCUGGCUAAGAUUAAGUCCUUUUAUAUAAAAUAAGGGAUGGCUAGUACCUUUCUAGUGCUGAAUUACCAUGCAAGACUACUGUAAAUUUUGUGUGUAUAUGAAUAAAAAAGGCUUAGAAAGGAGAGAAAUGGAUUUGCAAAAUUCUCCAAAGGCCUCAGUAUUAAUUUCCACUCUUAGAGAGUCCCCAUUAGUGUUUGACCUUCUUAGUCAAUAGAUGUGCUCCCUGCAGAAGAACAGACAGGCCCUUGGCUUUUGCAACUAAAAUCAGUUUAAUAUUUUUUUUCUACUACUGCUAGCAGAAGUCAACAAAGCUAAGUUAGAGCAAGAAGCUACUUUUCAGUCUGUUUUGUGCAAUCCUCUGCACAGCUAUUUACAAAGCUCCGAGCAGCUACCUGUGCGCCAGCUCACAAGAGGCAACAAAAGACUAACGUGGGAUGCACAGAGGAUCCAUAGCAGACACCUUGCCUCAUGGGGUUGAUUUCCCAAGUCUCCUCAUGCCGGUUAAGGAAGGAGUUUCCCUGUACCCAGUGGAUGCUUGUGCUGGCUGAGGAGGUAGAACAGGACCUGCUGCUUGGAAACUGGUGGCCAGCCCUGCCUGUUUAACAUUUGCGUUCACAAAGCCUGGCCCUGAGGUCUAUGGUAGGAUCAUUAAAAACAAUAAUUAAAAAAAUAAAAUGUGUAGACAGAAGAGAGAUACAGUCUUACCUAUUUGUCCCUGGGGACCCCAGGAAAGAUGAAUGAAACAGGUUCAAUUUCCACCCCAUGCACACCAUUUCCAGGUAAGCCUGAACCAAGGCUGAGUAUAUUUUACAGGAGUGUGGUGUGUCACAGGGUCUGGAUGGAUGCAAGCUGCCUGGAUGGAUAGAGCUGUUCCACUUGACAUAAAUAAUUAGAAAUUAAUUGGAACACAGACUGGACUAUGCUCAUCCUUCCCUCUCUGCAUCUUCUUACUGUCACCAUUUCCUCUCCCUGCUGCUCUAACAAGGAAGCUAUAAAAACACUGUUCCCGAGGAGGGUGAUGUGGAGGGGCAUCAGAAUGAACAGGGAGGAGAGGAAGGUCUUCUCCUCUCUCCUGGUUUUACAGGUAUGCACUACAGUUUUUAUUUUGGGUUGUAAGUGCAUUCAGAGGUUUAAGUGGAGGUCUGGAUUUAUUGUCACUGGAGAACCAUCAGCAGGGACCCACACUGCUGCUUUCACAAGGUCUCUGUUUGGUCUUCCUGCCACAUGUAUAGAAGCAUUUGUGACAGUGGCUGUAGAAAGUGGGCACCCUGCUAUUACUCUUCCACAAGAUCCUCAUGGAGGUUUGCUUGCAGCUGGAGACUCACAGUGUUUGGUUUAAACAUGCGUCAUACUUUUGGUGGAUGAGAGUUUACAUAAUGAAAAGAGGGUUCAGUUCAACUUGAUUUCAAAACCUAUGUGCUGGAAGAUCUGUCUGCCUUUUCUGUCAUGUUCUAUGUUAAUAAUUUCCUGGCCCUGCAGAACAAAAAUAAGUCCUCUGUGGUCUAACUGGACUAUUAAUAAAGAGAGGCAGCUCUUACCCACCUCUGCACAAUUUCCUGAUAUUA